GCCUUAGUAACGGCGAGUGAAGCGGCAACAGCUCAAAUUUGAAAUCUGGCUCCCUUGGGGGCCCGAGUUGUAAUUUGUAGAGGAUGCUUCGGCGUGGGCCCCGGUCUAAGUUCCUUGGAACAGGACGUCACAGAGGGUGAGAAUCCCGUACGUGGCCGUGGGUGCUCGCCAUGUGAAGCUCCUUCGACGAGUCGAGUUGUUUGGGAAUGCAGCUCUAAAUGGGAGGUAAAUUUCUUCUAAAGCUAAAUACUGGCCAGAGACCGAUAGCGCACAAGUAGAGUGAUCGAAAGAUGAAAAGCACUUUGGAAAGAGAGUCAAAAAGUACGUGAAAUUGUUGAAAGGGAAGCGCUUGCAACCAGACCUGCCUGCGGUUGCUCAUCCGGGCUCUUGCCCGGUGCACUCUUCCGCAGUCAGGCCAGCAUCAGCUCUGGCGGUCGGAUAAAGGCGGCGGGAAUGUGGCUCCCCUCGGGGAGUGUUAUAGCCCGCCGUGCAAUGCGGCCAGCCGGGACUGAGGUCCGCGCUUCGGCUAGGAUGCUGGCGUAAUGGUUGUAAGCGGCCCGUCUUGAAACACGGACCAAGGAGUCUAACAUCUGUGCGAGUGUUUGGGUGUCAAGCCCAGGCGCGUAAUGAAAGUGAACGGAGGCGGGAACCUUCGGGUGCACCGUCGACCGAUCCUGAUGUCUUCGGAUGGAUUUGAGUAAGAGCAUAGCUGUUGGGACCCGAAAGAUGGUGAACUAUGCCUGAAUAGGGUGAAGCCAGAGGAAACUCUGGUGGAGGCUCGCAGCGGUUCUGACGUGCAAAUCGAUCGUCAAAUUUGGGCAUAGGGGCGAAAGACUAAUCGAACUAUCUAGUAGCUGGUUCCUGCCGAAGUUUCCCUCAGGAUAGCAGUAACGUUUUCAGUUUUAUGAGGUAAAGCGAAUGAUUAGAGGCAUGGGGGUUGAAACAACCUUCACCUAUUCUCAAACUUUAAAUAUGUAAGAAGUCCUUGUUGCUUAGUUGAACG
rnacentral:rRNA from 1 species